rnacentral:rRNA from 1 species
AUUGAACGCUGGCGGCAGGCCUAACACAUGCAAGUCGAGCGAGUGGCGGACGGGUGAGUAAUGUCUGGGAAACUGCCUGAUGGAGGGGGAUAACUACUGGAAACGGUAGCUAAUACAGCAUACCAUUAGAUGUGUCCAGAUGGGAUUAGCUAGUGGGUGGGGUAACGGCUUACCUAGGCGACGAUCCCUAGCUGGUCUGAGAGGAUGACCAGCCACACUGGAACUGAGACACGGUCCAGACGCCUACGGGAGGCAGCAGUGGGGAAUAUUGCACAAUGGGCGCAAGCCUGAUGCAGCCAUGCCGCGUGUGUGAAGAAGGCCUUCGGGUUGUAAAGCACUUUCAGCGGGGAGGCGUUACCCGCAGAAGAAGCACCGGCUAACUCCGUGCCAGCAGCCGCGGUAAUAC